rnacentral:rRNA from 1 species
AGGUUCGAAGGCGAUCAGAUACCGCCCUAGUUCUAACCAUAAACGAUGCCAGCCAGCGAUCCGCCGAAGUUCCUCCGAUGACUCGGCGGGCAGCUUCCGGGAAACCAAAGCUUUUGGGUUCCGGGGGAAGUAUGGUUGCAAAGCUGAAACUUAAAGGAAUUGACGGAAGGGCACCACCAGGAGUGGAGCCUGCGGCUUAAUUUGACUCAACACGGGAAACCUCACCAGGCCCGGACACCGGAAGGAUUGACAGAUUGAGAGCUCUUUCUUGAUUCGGUGGGUGGUGGUGCAUGGCCGUUCUUAGUUGGUGGAGCGAUUUGUCUGGUUAAUUCCGGUAACGAACGAGACUCUAGCCUGCUAAAUAGACGAUUUCCGGUAUCCACAAUAGUGCUACCGGCGAAAUCAAUAUCUUCUUAGAGGGACAGGCGGCUUUCAGCCGCACGAAACUGAGCAAUAACAGGUCUGUGAUGCCCUUAGAUGUCCUGGGCCGCACGCGCGCUACACUGAAGGAAUCAGCGUGUAUACCCUGGCCGAAAGGCUCGGGCAACCCGUUGAACCUCCUUCGUGCUAGGGAUUGGGGCUUGCAAUUGUUCCCCAUGAACGAGGAAUUCCCAGUAAGCGCGAGUCAUAAGCUCGCGUUGAUUACGUCCCUGCCCUUUGUACACACCGCCCGUCGCUACUACCGAUUGAAUGAUUUAGUGAGGUCUUCGGACUGGUGCGCGGCGACCGCCUGCGCGGCCGCCGAUGCCACCGGGAAGAUGACCGAACUUGAUCAUU